rnacentral:misc_RNA from 1 species
UACGGAGGGUGCGAGCGUUAACCGGAUUUACUGGGCGUAAAGCGCGCGCAGGCGGAUAAGUAAGUCGGCUGUGAAAGCCCCGGGCUCAACCUGGGAAUGGCAUCCGGAACUGUUUAGCUAGAGUGCAGAAGAGGAAGGUAGAAUUCCCGGUGUAGCGGUGAAAUGCGUAGAGAUCGGGAGGAAUACCAGUGGCGAAGGCGGCCUUCUGGUCUGACACUGACGCUGAGGUGCGAAAGCUUGGGUAGCAAACAGG